CUUGUGGCCCCUCAAGCCCAAGCU
rnacentral:snRNA from 1 species